rnacentral:rRNA from 1 species
CGCUAUCAUCCUACGGGAGGCAGCAGUGGGGGAAUAUUGCACAAUGGGGGAAAACCCUGAUGCAGCCAUGCCGCGUGUGUGAAGAAGGCCUUCGGGUUGUAAAGCACUUUCAGUAGGGAGGAAGGUAGUGUAGUUAACACCUGCAUUAUUUGACGUUACCUACAGAAGAAGCACCGGCUAACUCCGUGCCAGCAGCCGCGGUAAUACGGAGGGUGCGAGCGUUAAUCGGAAUUACUGGGCGUAAAGCGCAUGCAGGCGGCCUGUUAAGUCAGAUGUGAAAGCCCGGGGCUUAACCUCGGAAUUGCAUUUGAAAACUGGCAGGCUAGAGUCUUGUAGAGGGGGUAGAAUUUCAGGUGUAGCGGUGAAAAUGCGUAGAGAUCUGAAGGAAUACCAGUGGCGAAGGCGGCCCCCUGGACAAAGACUGACGCUCAGAUGCGAAAGCGUGGGGAGCAAACAGGAUUAGAUACCCCUGGUAG